rnacentral:tRNA from 1 species
GGCUGGAUAGCUCAGCUGGUAGAGCACUGGUACUGUAUUCCAGAGGUCGCAGGUUCAAAUCCCGCUCCAGUCA